UUAGAAAUGCAUAAUAUUCGAGGCUAACUGUAGCUUUAGUCAUUUUCUCGAUGUAAAGAGCGAUAAUAUGCCGUGAACAUCAAUCCAAAUAUCAAUGUGUGAUAAAAAUUGCGAAAGUGAAAUAUCAGCAAUUAAUUAAUCUGAUAUAAUGAAAGCACUACGAGAUUUUCUACUAUUACGCCAUACAUUUAUAACUUCGAAACAAAUGCAAAUUAAAACGCAAACAACAUACGCUCGCAUGCACGACGAUUUAGCGUCACAAGAGCAAUAGAAGCUCAUUGGUCCAUUUUCGAAACUCCUCCCUCAGUGGCUACGCUGAUGUGCACCUGUGAAAUAUGCGCACCGGCACAGUUUAAGCUCUGUCAAAAGCCCAUUUUUAAGAACUUCAGAUUUCUACAAUGAGAGGUGUAAUGGAAUUUUCAUUACAGGAUAUUUAAAGGGAGUUCCUUCCAGUAUGACCAUUGAUACAGAAGACAAUAUUGCUGAAAAGAUUUGGUUCAAAUUCGAAAAUAAACUCGUUUGGACGCCUCCCUGCGUUACGCUGCAGCCUGUAUCUGGUGACAAAAGUGACAACUAUAGAAUGAUAAACUUUAACAUAAUGUUUGGAAGUGCAGCUUAACAUCAUACAGCACAUGUGGCAGAUAUUACAAACCCUCGCAUACUCAGAUUAGACACAAACACUUUUUCCUUGAACUUUAAAAAUAACAAUUGCAUUUUACCUCUGACGAUAUAACCCUGUUCAGAAUUAAAGAUGAAGGAAUUAAAUACGCCCACGAAAUAAUAGCUCAAGACGAUAUCAUGGAACCACCAUCAACAGAAUUCUUACUACUUGGAUCCAUAGAUAAAAAUAUAAAUUUUUGUUACGGUAUUAAUUGGAAUAUUCUAAAAUCUCAUCCUCCAUGUUCAAAAUGCCUUUCCUUCGCACCUAAGCUUGAUUUUUCGCCCAUCGGUUCAGAAAGACUUAGCGGGUGCAAAACAAGACAUCUGUCUACUUUGUCUGUCUUUUCUUCUAUUGUAUUCAAAAUGCAUUUAUAAAUUAGGAAUAUUUUAUUUUAUACUUUCGGUUGAGGCAACUCACUAGAACUUCAACUAUUGAAAAUCGAGCAUGGUGAUAUUAUGGACUGUCAAGGGUAUUCUGAACAACUAUAAGCGAGGUUUUUCUAAUUUUCUGACCGGGUUCCAGUUUUCUUUAGAGCAUAUUCCUUAGAGCUUUUAAGCUGAAUAAAUGGGGAACGUAUUUACUAUUGUCCAACCAACAAUACUGGAAUCAGUUCCUCCACCAAAUUUACCCAAGCAACCUUCGAGUUCAAAUUAUGAUCCAGGAAAAGAAACUUUACAGAUUUCAUCAGACCUUGAAUCCUGGAACUGUACAAGAUCUUCAUAAAAAGUGCGAGGAUGUUUUCCCAUCUGUAUUUGAAGGAGUUGAGUUAAUACUUGGUCAUGAAUUGGGUAAUCAUUUUCAAAUUGGUCAUUCUAUAAAAUGGAGCACUGAGGCUCCUUCUGGGUAUAGUUUUAUGACAACUUAUGUUGGAACUAAUCAAUUUGGUCCUAUGGAGAAAUAUCCAGUUUUAGCGGGUGCUGUUGAUCCUAGUGGCACGAUGACUGCUAAAAUGAUUCACAAAUACAAAAAUAUACAUGGAAUGUAUUUUACUCAGGUUCAGGGCAAUUCUUUUGCUUCACAAGCUGCGCUUGAUUACAAAGGGUCAGAUUACACAGCUUUUUUAUGGGUAUCCAGUCUAUAUGUCCAGAAUAAUUCGGUGUUGUCGGCUUGGAUUAUCUUAAAAAUGUUACACCAUCUUUGGCACUUGGUGCUGACAUGCUAUAUGAGUAUGGUCCACUAGUUCCUGAAGGUCAGAUGCUUGCAGUGGCUUUUGAUGGAAGAUAUACAGGGUCUAAUUAUAUUAUAAGUGGAACAUUGGGUCCAUAUGGUCUGCAUGCUUGUUAUUAUCGUAAGGAUGGUGAAAAUAUACAGGUGGGUGUUGAUCUGAAAACAAACUUUAGGUCAAGUGAAAGUGUAUGUUCUAUAGGAUAUCAAAUUGAUCUUCCUAAAGCAAAUUUAGUAUUUCGAGGUAAAACCGUUUAACAUUUUUAACUUUUCUGCCAAAUUCAUUAUUGAGCUGUUAACAAUUUUUAAGAAAAUAGUUUUUUACUCUUAUGUAUUUUAUUUUCAAUAUUAAGCUUCUAGAUCAAUGUGGCUCUA